GACGAACGCUGGCGGCGUGCUUAACACAUGCAAGUCGAACGGAAAGGCCCCUUUGGGGGUACUCGAGUGGCGCACGGGUGAGUAACACGUGAGUAACCUGCCCUUGACUUCGGGAUAACUUCAGGAAACUGGGGCUAAUACCGGAUAGGAAUCCUUGCUGCAUGGUGGGGGUUGGAAAGCUUCGGCGGUUUUGGAUGGACUCGCGGCUUAUCAGCUUGUUGGUGGGGUAGUGGCUUACCAAGGCUUUGACGGGUAGCCGGCCUGAGAGGGCGACCGGCCAAGGGGGGACGGAGGGACGGGCGGGACAGCGACGGGGGGCAGAGGUGGGGAGGAGGACGCAGUGGGCGGAGGCGUGACGCGGGGGCGCCGGGUGGGGGAUGGCGGCUUUCGGGGCGUAAACCGCUUGCAGCAGGGACGAAGGGCAAGUGACGGGACCUGAAGAAGAAGCACCGGCCAACUACGUG
rnacentral:rRNA from 1 species